rnacentral:misc_RNA from 1 species
CAGAGUCCGCCUACUUGUAGGCACCUCUCACCCUUGAAUACAUACCUUUGUUGCUUUGGCGGGCCGCGAUUUUCGCGUUGGCCUUGGCUAACUGUGCCCGCCAGAGGACCCAAACUCAGUUAUCUAUGUUGUCCGAGUAAUAUAUAAUAUUUA